rnacentral:misc_RNA from 1 species
AAAAUCAUCUCACAGAUAGUGUGGUAUUGGCAGAAGUAGGUAGUACUAGUAGUGCUUUGUCUUACUCUACCAAAAUGAAUGGGCCAGAAAAGUGAAUCAUGGUAACAGACUCUCAGAGUGUUUUAAAAUGCUAUACUAGUCUAAACCAGAUUGGAAUCUGAACCUGUUGACCUCCAUAAAGUUCAAACUAGAGC